GAUUGCCUCAGUAACGGCGAGUGAAGCGGCAACAGCUCAAAUUUGAAAUCUGGCCCUUUCAGGGUCCGAGUUGUAAUUUGUAGAGGAUGUUUCGGGUGUGGCUCCGGUCUAAGUUCCUUGGAACAGGACGUCAUAGAGGGUGAGAAUCCCGUAUGUGACUGGUAGCCUAUGCCCAUGUGAAACUCCUUCGACGAGUCGAGUUGUUUGGGAAUGCAGCUCAAAAUGGGUGGUAAAUUUCAUCUAAAGCUAAAUAUUGGCCAGAGACCGAUAGCGCACAAGUAGAGUGAUCGAAAGAUGAAAAGCACUUUGGAAAGAGAGUUAAACAGUACGUGAAAUUGUUGAAAGGGAAGCGCUUGCAACCAGACUUGCAUGUAGCUGAUCAACCGGUGUUCUCACCGGUGCACUCAGUUGCGUUCAGGCCAGCAUCGGUUUCGACGGUUGGAUAAAGGCCUUGGGAAUGUAGCUCCUCUCGGGGAGUGUUAUAGCCCAGGGUGCAAUGCAGCCUGUUGGGACCGAGGACCGCGCUUCGGCUAGGAUGCUGGCGUAAUGGUUGUAAGCGACCCGUCUUGAAACACGGACCAAGGAGUCUAACAUCUAUGCGAGUGUUUGGGUGUCAAACCCAUACGCGUAAUGAAAGUGAACGGAGGUGAGAACCCUUAAGGGUGCAUCAUCGACCGAUCCUGAUGUCUUCGGAUGGAUUUGAGUAAGAGCAUAGCUGUUGGGACCCGAAAGAUGGUGAACUAUGCCUGAAUAGGGUGAAGCCAGAGGAAACUCUGGUGGAGGCUCGCAGCGGUUCUGACGUGCAAAUCGAUCGUCAAAUUUGGGUAUAGGGGCGAAAGACUAAUCGACCAUCUAGUAGCUGUC
rnacentral:rRNA from 1 species